AUUGAACGCUGGCGGCAGGCCUAACACAUGCAAGUCGAGCGGAUGAAGGGAGCUUGCUCCUGGAUUCAGCGGCGGACGGGUGAGUAUGCCUAGGAAUCUGCCUGGUAGUGGGGGAUAACGUCCGGAAACGGGCGCUAAUACCGCAUACGUCCUGAGGGAGAAAGUGGGGGAUCUUCGGACCUCACGCUAUCAGAUGAGCCUAGGUCGGAUUAGCUCGUUGGGGGGGUAAAGGCCUACCAAGGCGACGAUCCGUAACUGGUCUGAGAGGAUGAUCAGUCACCUUGGAACUGAGACAGGGUCCAGACUCCUACGGGAGGCAGCAGUGGGGAAUAUUGGACAAUGGGCGAAAGCCUUGUCCAGCCAUGCGGCGUGUGUGAAGAAGGUCUUCGGAUUGUAAAGCACUUUAAGUUGGGAGGAAGGGCAGUAAGUUAAUACCUUGCUGUUUUGACGUUACCAACAGAAUAAGCACCGGCUAACUUCGUG
rnacentral:rRNA from 1 species